GACGAACGCUGGCGGCGUGCUUAAUACAUGCAAGUCGAGCGGUGAAACGCCUUCCUUGCUGCUCGGUGGGUAUGAGUGGCGGACGGGUGAGUAACUCGUUAGUAACCUUACCACUCCUGCUUAAUAACGGCAUGACAGUGUGACUAAUACAGGAUAUUCUGAGUCGCUCGCAUGAUUAGUCUAGGAAAGAUUUUGUUUCGCUUGUGGAUGGGCUCGCGCCGUAUUAGCUUGUUGGUAGGGUGAUGGCUUACCAAGGCGGCGAUGCGUAGCCGACCUGAGAGGAGGGUCGGCCGCACCGGUGGUGAGGCGCGGCCCACACGCCUACGACGGGAAGCAGUAGGGAGGAAUCCGGAAUGGUCGAAGGCCUGACGAUGCAGCGACGCGUGGGGAGUGAUGGAGUUCGUCGCGCUGUAAUCCGUUUUUGGGGGUGAACAAGUGUGGAAUUGACUGUGCGCGUCUUGACGGUACCUGGACAAAAAGCCACGGCUAACUACGUG
rnacentral:rRNA from 1 species